AUCGCGAUCCUUCAUACCGUUGUCGUUUAGCCGAUCACAAUAACGUUUCUCGCGAUUUGUUUGGACAUUUAACUAUAUCGAACUCGAUUCUUCUUAGAAAAAGAAAUCUAUCAAAACUUGAAAAAAAGAUAUCAUAUUGGUCAAUAUACUGGUCGUAACUGCUAGAAAUUCAAACAAGACAAAAAGAUGAGUUUCAAAACAAACUUGUUAUUCGUAUUUAUUACCUUCAGUAUUUUGACGCUUGAGACACUAACAAUAAGUAUAAGAAAAACUAGAAUAGCUUUUGACAGAACUUUGUGUGCUCUUCCGUAUAACGAAGGUUCUUUUUGCAUUGAAAAUCUACCGAGAUGGUGGUAUAAUGAGGCUACGAGACGCUGUGAAAUUUUUAUAUAUAGGGGUUGUAAUGGAAAUGCAAAUAAUUUUGAAGAUAAAGUAGAAUGCGAACGCAAAUGUGCAUACAGUAGGAAGGAGUAUGUAAAAUUUUUGCGUGAUAUGUUGCGUGGCUAUACUGGCAGAGUGACGUUUACGGAAUAGUUUGGUAAUGAGUUUAAAUAGAAGUACUAAUUGAAAGACUGUGAAGUCUUUAUAAAAUACUUGUAAAAGUGUUUUAUUUUUACAAUAAUUGACUGUAAUAAAAUGAAAUGUACGGAUAUAUA